GAUGAAGAACGUAGCGAAAUGCGAUAAGUAAUGUGAAUUGCAGAAUUCCGUGAAUCAUCGAAUCUUUGAACGCACAUUGCGCCCCCUGGCAUUCCGGGUGGCAUGCCUGUCCGAGCGUCAUUUCUGCCCUCCAGCCCGGCUGGGUGUUGGGCGCUGUCCCCCCGGGGACACGCCCCAAAGGCAGUGGCGGCGCCGCGUCGGGUCCUCGAGCGUAUGGGGCUUUGUCACCCGCUCGGGACGGACUCGUCGGCGCUGGUCUUCCUCCAGGCGACCCUUCGGGGCUCGUCUUCCUUCGGUUGACCUCGGAUCAGGUAGGGUUACCCGCUGAACUUAAGCAUAUCAAUAAGCGGAGGA
rnacentral:misc_RNA from 1 species